rnacentral:rRNA from 1 species
UGCAGUUGACGCUUGAAUUUCACCGAAGCUUGCUUCACCGAAAUUCAAGAGUAGCGAACGGGUGAGUAACGCGUGGAUAACCUGCCUUAUAGCGGGGGAUAACUAUUGGAAACGAUAGCUAAUACCGCAUAACAAUGACUGACACAUGUUAGUUAUUUGAAAGUACCAAUUGGUACACUAUGAGAUGGAUCCGCGUUGUAUUAGCUAGUUGGUAGUGUAACGGACUACCAAGGCGAUGAUACAUAGCCGACCUGAGAGGGUGAUCGGCCACACUGGGACUGAGACACGGCCCAGACUCCUACGGGAGGCAGCAGUAGGGAAUCUUCGGCAAUGGACGAAAGUCUGACCGAGCAACGCCGCGUGAGUGAAGAAGGUUUUCGGAUCGUAAAACUCUGUUGUUAGAGAAGAACGUUGAUUAGAGUGGAAAAUUAAUCAAGUGACGGUAUCUAACCAGAAAGGGACGGCUAACUACGUGCCAGCAGCCGCGGUAAUACGUAGGUCCCGAGCGUUGUCCGGAUUUAUUGGGCGUAAAGCGAGCGCAGGUGGUUUCUUAAGUCAGAUGUAAAAGGCAGUUGCUCAACGAUUGUAUGCAUUUGAAACUGGGAGACUUGAGUGCAGUAGAGGAGAGUGGAAUUCCAUGUGUAGCGGUGAAAUGCGUAGAUAUAUGGAGGAACACCGGAGGCGAAAGCGGCUCUCUGGACUGUAACUGACACUGAGGCUCGAAAGCGUGGGUAGCAAACAGGAUUAGAUACCCUGGUAGUCCACGCCGUAAACGAUGAGUGCUAGUUGUUUGGGGCUAUCCAGCCCUAAGUGACGCAGCAAACGCAUUAAGCACUCCGCCUGGGGAGUACGACCCGCAGGUUGAAACUCAAAGGAAUUGA